GACGAACGCUGGCGGCGUGCUUAACACAUGCAAGUGGAGCGACGAACCGGGGCUUGCCCCGGGGCAGAGCCGCGAACGGGUGAGUAACACGUGGGUAACCUGCCUCAAUGAUUGGGACAACCCGGGGAAACUCGGGCUAAUACCAAAUGUGUUCACUCCUUCUAAGGGGAGUGAGGAAAGGAAGCUUCGGCCUCCGCAUUGAGAUGGGCCCGCGGCCCAUUAGCUUGUUGGUGAGGUAACGGCUCACCAAGGCUUCGAUGGGUAGCUGGUCUGAGAGGACGAUCAGCCACACUGGGGCUGAGACACGGCCCAGACUCCUACGGGAGGCAGCAGUGGGAAUCUUGCACAAUGCGCGAAAGCGUGAUGCAGCAACGCCGCGU
rnacentral:rRNA from 1 species